GGUUAAGCGACUAAGCGUACACGGUGGAUGCCCUGGCAGUCAGAGGCGAUGAAGGACGUGCUAAUCUGCGAUAAGCGUCGGUAAGGUGAUAUGAACCGUUAUAACCGGCGAUUUCCGAAUGGGGAAACCCAGUGUGUUUCGACACACUAUCAUUAACUGAAUCCAUAGGUUAAUGAGGCGAACCGGGGGAACUGAAACAUCUAAGUACCCCGAGGAAAAGAAAUCAACCGAGAUUCCCCCAGUAGCGGCGAGCGAACGGGGAGCAGCCCAGAGCCUGAAUCAGUGUGUGUGUUAGUGGAAGCGUCUGGAAAGGCGCGCGAUACAGGGUGACAGCCCCGUACACAAAAAUGCACAUGCUGUGAGCUCGAUGAGUAGGGCGGGACACGUGGUAUCCUGUCUGAAUAUGGGGGGACCAUCCUCCAAGGCUAAAUACUCCUGACUGACCGAUAGUGAACCAGUACCGUGAGGGAAAGGCGAAAAGAACCCCGGCGAGGGGAGUGAAAAAGAACCUGAAACCGUGUACGUACAAGCAGUGGGAGCACGCUUAGGCGUGUGACUGCGUACCUUUUGUAUAAUGGGUCAGCGACUUAUAUUCUGUAGCAAGGUUAACCGAAUAGGGGAGCCGAAGGGAAACCGAGUCUUAACUGGGCGUUAAGUUGCAGGGUAUAGACCCGAAACCCGGUGAUCUAGCCAUGGGCAGGUUGAAGGUUGGGUAACACUAACUGGAGGACCGAACCGACUAAUGUUGAAAAAUUAGCGGAUGACUUGUGGCUGGGGGUGAAAGGCCAAUCAAACCGGGAGAUAGCUGGUUCUCCCCGAAAGCUAUUUAGGUAGCGCCUCGUGAAUUCAUCUCCGGGGGUAGAGCACUGUUUCGGCAAGGGGGUCAUCCCGACUUACCAACCCGAUGCAAACUGCGAAUACCGGAGAAUGUUAUCACGGGAGACACACGGCGGGUGCUAACGUCCGUCGUGAAGAGGGAAACAACCCAGACCGCCAGCUAAGGUCCCAAAGUCAUGGUUAAGUGGGAAACGAUGUGGGAAGGCCCAGACAGCCAGGAUGUUGGCUUAGAAGCAGCCAUCAUUUAAAGAAAGCGUAAUAGCUCACUGGUCGAGUCGGCCUGCGCGGAAGAUGUAACGGGGCUAAACCAUGCACCGAAGCUGCGGCAGCGACACUGUGUGUUGUUGGGUAGGGGAGCGUUCUGUAAGCCUGUGAAGGUGUACUGUGAGGUAUGCUGGAGGUAUCAGAAGUGCGAAUGCUGACAUAAGUAACGAUAAAGCGGGUGAAAAGCCCGCUCGCCGGAAGACCAAGGGUUCCUGUCCAACGUUAAUCGGGGCAGGGUGAGUCGACCCCUAAGGCGAGGCCGAAAGGCGUAGUCGAUGGGAAACAGGUUAAUAUUCCUGUACUUGGUGUUACUGCGAAGGGGGGACGGAGAAGGCUAUGUUGGCCGGGCGACGGUUGUCCCGGUUUAAGCGUGUAGGCUGGUUUUCCAGGCAAAUCCGGAAAAUCAAGGCUGAGGCGUGAUGACGAGGCACUACGGUGCUGAAGCAACAAAUGCCCUGCUUCCAGGAAAAGCCUCUAAGCAUCAGGUAACAUCAAAUCGUACCCCAAACCGACACAGGUGGUCAGGUAGAGAAUACCAAGGCGCUUGAGAGAACUCGGGUGAAGGAACUAGGCAAAAUGGUGCCGUAACUUCGGGAGAAGGCACGCUGAUAUGUAGGUGAAGUCCCUUGCGGAUGGAGCUGAAAUCAGUCGAAGAUACCAGCUGGCUGCAACUGUUUAUUAAAAACACAGCACUGUGCAAACACGAAAGUGGACGUAUACGGUGUGACGCCUGCCCGGUGCCGGAAGGUUAAUUGAUGGGGUUAGCGGUAACGCGAAGCUCUUGAUCGAAGCCCCGGUAAACGGCGGCCGUAACUAUAACGGUCCUAAGGUAGCGAAAUUCCUUGUCGGGUAAGUUCCGACCUGCACGAAUGGCGUAAUGAUGGCCAGGCUGUCUCCACCCGAGACUCAGUGAAAUUGAACUCGCUGUGAAGAUGCAGUGUACCCGCGGCAAGACGGAAAGACCCCGUGAACCUUUACUAUAGCUUGACACUGAACAUUGAGCCUUGAUGUGUAGGAUAGGUGGGAGGCUUUGAAGUGUGGACGCCAGUCUGCAUGGAGCCGACCUUGAAAUACCACCCUUUAAUGUUUGAUGUUCUAACGUUGACCCGUAAUCCGGGUUGCGGACAGUGUCUGGUGGGUAGUUUGACUGGGGCGGUCUCCUCCUAAAGAGUAACGGAGGAGCACGAAGGUUGGCUAAUCCUGGUCGGACAUCAGGAGG
rnacentral:rRNA from 1 species